rnacentral:lncRNA from 1 species
GUUGUGACCUGAAAGCUUAUUGGUGGCCCCUGACUUGUGUUCCUCUAGUCCUUUCAACAGUCUUGUUGGUAUUUCAUUCCCUGCAUUAAGUGCCUUCCUGUCUGACAUAUCCAGAGUGGCUUCUACUUCCCACAGUGAACCCUGACUGAUACAAAAGGUUUGGAAGAUGGAUGGGAGCUCACCAAGUGAACAAAGGAAGAAAGGCCCAUCCUACUCUAAGCAAACAGGAUGCCGAAAAUAAUGGAGGAGGGAAGCAUGAACAGUAUGGUAUCCUUCUAUAUGGUGAUGGAGCAGCCAGACUCUUUCCAUCUUGGGGUACUGCUGUCUUCAGCAUGUGGCUUCCGAGGAUGCCAUCUAAGCUAAGCAGAGGUGCAUCUCAGAAGAACUUGCGCUAAGUUAAAAAAUUGGACAAAUAAAACCUUAGUACCCAACA